GCUUCACAGAAGAAGACAUCAGAGAUGAAACCAAGUGGUUUUUUCCCACCUGGAGCUAGCUCUGAUUAGCCCCAGAGCAGAGAGGGGAGGAGGCCGACAUGAGCAGCUGUGAAAUUACAACCUGCUUAAUUUAAUUACCCGUGCUAAUUAAUUCAUAUCUACAGCCAAAGGAAAAGGACUUGAGUAAAGAAGUCAUUAGCCUAAUUACUUAAUUAAUUGUCUGUGGCGCCGUCCCAUUUGAGCUGCGUCUUCAUUAUCUGAUGUUUGGCCUUGGCACCAGUUUAGUAUGUUUGAUGAAAUCUGGUCCUGGUGAUAAUUUCUCCCCGUCACACUCCCGUAAUGAGAGGUGUGGAGGCUCCAUAUGGUGGUGUUUGCGCUCGAGUACCCAUUGAGAAUGUCACUUGCUGAUACUAAAUCGCCCAUCUUGAGCGAGUGUUUGUGAGCGUUGCAAGAGGGAUCCUCAGUUCAUCAGAACAUGCCUCUUGGCAUCUCUCUGCGAUGUGUCCCCUGCUGCCAGCUUGCCAAGACACCGACCUUAAUGACCUGUGACUAUUCAAAGGCCUUUUCAUUUACAGUCACAGAGCUGUUAUUAAAUCCGGAGUGUAUGAUUUCUGAGCUGCUGACAUCAACUGGACUUGGAAAAAUAAAAAAAUAGUAGUGAUUUGA